UGGGGAAUAUUGCACAAUGGGCGCAAGCCUGAUGCAGCCAUGCCGCGUGUGUGAAGAAGGCCUUCGGGUUGUAAAGCACUUUCAGCGGGGAGGAAGGCGUUAAGGUUAAUAACCUUGGCGAUUGACGUUACCCGCAGAAGAAGCACCGGCUAACUCCGUGCCAGCAGCCGCGGUAAUACGGAGGGUGCAAGCGUUAAUCGGAAUUACUGGGCGUAAAGCGCACGCAGGCGGUCUGUCAAGUCGGAUGUGAAAUCCCCGGGCUCAACCUGGGAACUGCAUUCGAAACUGGCAGGCUAGAGUCUUGUACAGGGGGGUAGAAUUCCAGGUGUAGCGGUGAAAUGCGUAGAGAUCUGGAGGAAUACCGGUGGCGAAGGCGGCCCCCUGGACAAAGACUGACGCUCAGGUGCGAAAGCGUGGGGAGCAAACAGG
rnacentral:rRNA from 1 species